CAGUAGCCACGGGAACACAGAGGGUGCGAGCGUUAAUCGGAUUUACUGGGCGUAAAGCGUGCGUAGGCGGCUUUUUAAGUCGGAUGUGAAAUCCCUGAGCUUAACUUAGGAAUUGCAUUCGAUACUGGGAAGCUAGAGUAUGGGAGAGGAUGGUAGAAUUCCAGGUGUAGCGGUGAAAUGCGUAGAGAUCUGGAGGAAUACCGAUGGCGAAGGCAGCCAUCUGGCCUAAUACUGACGCUGAGGUACGAAAGCAUGGGGAGCAAACAGGAUUAGAUACCCGAGUAGUCCCUGUCUCUUAUAC
rnacentral:rRNA from 1 species